rnacentral:rRNA from 1 species
GAUGAACGCUGGCGGCGUGCCUAAUACAUGCAAGUCGAGCGAACGGACGAGAAUCUUGCUUCUCUGAUGUUAGCGGCGGACGGGUGAUUAACACGUGGAUAACCUACCUAUAAGACUGGGAUAACUUCGGGAAACCGGAGCUAAUACCGGAUGAUAUUUUGAACCGCAUGGUUCAAAAGUGAAAGACGGUCUUGCUGUCACUUAUAGAUGUAUCCGCGCUGCAUUAGCUAGUUGGUAAGGUAACGGCUUACCAAGGCAACGAUGCAUAGCCGACCUGAGAGGGUGAUCGGCCACACUGGAACUGAGACACGGUCCAGACUCCUACGGGAGGCAGCAGUAGGGAAUCUUCCGCAAUGGGCGAAAGCCUGACGGAGCAACGCCGCGUGAGUGAUGAAGGUCUUCGGAUCGUAAAACUCUGUUAUUAGGGAAGAACAUAUGUGUAAGUAACUGUGCACAUCUUGACGGUACCUAAUCAGAAAGCCACGGCUAACUACGUG